GUGGAAGCUACGCUUGAAAGGCGUGGGCAGCUCCAGGUCAUCCGGGAGCUGCUGUCCAGUUCUGGGCAGCACCGCAAGGUCUGAGUGGACUUCCUCUUAGGAAGGUGCAUCCUGCAGCCCUGACGCGGUGGCCCAGGAAGGGAGGGUCGGAGGCUCUGACGGGAGGAUUUUCCUCUCUUCUCUGGGUGCCAGAUGUUUCAAAGGAGCUGGAUCCUCCUCGGAGGCCAUCCUGGGUACAUUGACGGAGCCCUCCGGGGUUCCGAACUGAAAAUGCCACCCCCGGGUGUCUCUGGGUAGGGGCUGAGUACUCAGGGAAACACCGUGUCACCCACGAGCAGCUCUGGAUACACCUGGAGACGUUCUCACUGCUGAUACGGAGAGUCCCUUGACUGAACGUCAAGUGGCGGACGGCAGAGCCCUCCGUGGAUGGGAGGUACCAAGGAGCUGAGCAGGAGGCAGAAUUCUUGGAGGUCGCUGGUGGCCGUCAUCACGUCACGGUGGCACUCUCCCUGCUAACGUUCUUAGCCACCCUACAGUGGACACUGUUCUUGCCAUUGUAGAAGUGACUAGAGAGGUUGACAUUUUUUCUCAGGUCACACAGCUGAAAGAUGGCUUGACUGGACUUUGAGUUCUCUCCAUAUGACCCCUCAGCACCCCCAUGUGCGUCUGCUGUCAGGUUAUUACUACGCCAUUGGUUUCUGGAGGAGUGUGAC
rnacentral:lncRNA from 1 species